rnacentral:lncRNA from 1 species
CCAUCUGUUGGAUGAUUAAAUUGAAUUUUGACCCCUUGUACCCAUCCCUUCUACCUCAAGUCUAAACCAACACAGAGGAGUAUAUUUCAAUAUACUCCUUCGAUUCUCGAAUAGAUUAUUCCUACACAUCCCAUUCGAUGAUACAGAUGCAUCUACACCUCCAUCCCAUCCAUAAAAUAAGAAGAAUGACUUUUGACCCCU